rnacentral:rRNA from 1 species
AUUGAACGCUGGCGGCAGGCUUAACACAUGCAAGUCGAACGAGUGGCAGACGUGUGAGUAAUGCUUGGGAAUCUAGCAUGUGGAGGGGGAUAAAUUCGGGAAACUGUAGCUUAUACCGCGUACCAUAGUAUGCGCCCACGUGGGAGUAGGUAGUUGGUGAGGUAAAGGCUCACCAAGCCGACUAUCUCUAGCUGGUCUGAGAGGAUGACCAGCCAAACUGGGACUGAGACAAGGCCCAGACUCCUACGGGAGGCAGCAGUGGGGAAUAUUGCGAAAUGGGGGCAACCUGACGCAGCCAUGCCGCGUGAAUGAAGAAGGCCUUCGGGUUGUAAAGUUCUUUCGGUAGCGAGGCGUUAACUACAGAAGAAGCACCGGCUUACUCCGUGCCAGCAGCCGCGGGAAUAC